UACGUAGGGGGCAAGCGUUGUCCGGAUUUAUUGGGCGUAAAGAGCGUGUAGGCGGCCUGGCAGGUCAGCUGUGAAAACUCGAGGCUCAACCUCGAGACGUCGGUUGAAACCACCUGGCUAGAGUCCGGAAGAGGAGAGUGGAAUUCCCGGUGUAGCGGUGAAAUGCGCAGAUAUCGGGAAGAACACCCGUGGCGAAGGCGGCUCUCUGGGACGGUACUGACGCUGAGGCACGAAGGCCAGGGGAGCAAACGGG
rnacentral:rRNA from 1 species